rnacentral:lncRNA from 1 species
UGGCACUGCUUGCAACCAAGAAGAAAGAAUAACAUGAGAUAAGUGUCAGUUCUACACUUGUAUCAUCUGUGGGCCAAAUUCAUAAAAAGUUGUUAGUUAAACAGGGGAAACAAACAACUUGCCAGAAGACUGAUAAAAAUGCAGCAAUAGUAAAAACAAAAGUACUGAAUUCCAGUAGGGCAGUUAUGCACCUGAUCUAUUGAUGGAGGGAAGCCCAAAUUGCAGCUAAUUAGUCCAGAAAUCAGACAGCAAAGGCAGCGAAGACUUUGACAAAAUGAAUAGGGAUUACAGAAAUGGAAUUGUAUAUAGUUUAAGACCACUCUAUUCAUUGUAUAUACUGUAAUUGCAGUCCAUCUAUCUAUCUAGCUGUCAAUCAAAAAUUACAGAAAUACAUCUAUC